UACGGAGGGUGCAAGCGUUAAUCGGAAUUACUGGGCGUAAAGCGUGCGCAGGCGGUUUUUUAAGUCAGAUGUGAAAUCCCCGGGCUUAACCUGGGAACUGCGUUUGAAACUACAAGGCUAGAGUGUGGCAGAGGGGGGUGGAAUUCCGCGUGUAGCAGUGAAAUGCGUAGAGAUGUGGAGGAACACCGAUGGCGAAGGCAGCCCCCUGGGUUAACACUGACGCUCAGGCACGAAAGCGUGGGGAGCAAACAGG
rnacentral:rRNA from 1 species